CGUCAUGUCCCUUUCCGAUCCGUGGAUCAGGAACCAUGCUUUCGGUUAUUGCGGCAGAUCCAGAGUAAAUGCGGGGAUGCCGGUCUGGGACUCUGGGUGGACUCGUCCCCUACCUCAGUCCGCUCGAUUUUUUCAUUAGCGAUAGAGUUCAUCUGCGAAGAGGCCCUCACAAGUCUGUCCGCCGUCGGUGAAGAUGGAGGGAGUUCUUGAUGCAGCUAAUUGUGCGGAGCUGAAGGCCGACGGGCAGAUCUGUGAGGCGCAGGGGGUGGCGGCCGGGGAUGGUGUGUGUGUGUCUGAGCAGUCGACUGGCGAGAUGAAUCCUAAAGACCAUGGCUGGACCUGAAGGAGCGGCACUCCAUGGCCCGGAGCGAGGGGGUUGCCUCUACGGUGAGGCGGUCCUUUUCGGAGUUGGCUCGGUCUGUUUGGUACCCUGGUGACCGGUGGUUUCUUCAGGCGGCUCGGCUCCGGUCUUGUCCAGUAGUAUUGGGUGUUAUGUGUUAGGGAUGGUGUCUCUUGGUUUAAUGCUCGGUGUUGGUUUAGUGGUACUUGUGCCACUAGACCAUUGCCGUUUUAUUUUUCUUUGGACCUGCUUGUAUGAGGGUUUCCUCACCACUUUGUAUCAGUUCGGCCAUUGGUGCCUUUAUUUAUAAAGGGGAGCGAAAGCCUGUUUCGAGAGAGAAACAACCAUUUCCCAAGCAUAAUAUUGGCGGGGGUAUUGGUUUGCGAUGAGAAAGUGGAGAGCUUUGAAUGGGUGUCCGAUGAAUUUACCAGGAUGAUGGGGGCUAUUGAACCAAAAGAAAAACUGACAGACCAAAAUCGUGCAAUGGAGGUUGCAUCAAGAAUGUCAUGCCUAGUACCGCACACUGAUGGUGCAAGGGCAUGUCCUGAAGAAGGCAAAGGAAUCGUUGGGAUCCUUGUACACCAAGAAGAGCGAGUUCCGGGAAGAAUUUUACAAAGUUGUUAGUUCACAUGCUAACAAUAGAUGAGUUUGAGGAAGCUUGGAAACUCCUGAUGGAGAAGUACAACUUGCUGACUCACCCAUACAUGACACAGCUGUAUGAGAUCAGGCACAAGUGGGCUAAGCAUUAUUUCAAGGGGGAUUUCUGUGAAAAAAUGAUGAGCGCAAACCAUAUGCUUAAGAAUAUGUGCCACCAGGCUUCCCUAUGCAUUUGUUUGUGAGGAAGUACAUGAGGCUGCAAUUCAACUGGGAGUCAAGAUGAAAAUUAUGAGAAG